rnacentral:rRNA from 1 species
CACAUGCAAGUCGAACGCGAAAGUCCUUCGGGAUGAGUAGAGUGGCGGACGGGUGAGUAACGCGUAGGAAUCUAUCCUGUAGUGGGGGAUAACGUUUCGAAAGGAACGCUAAUACCGCAUACGCCCCAAGGGGGAAAGCGGGGGAUCUUCGGACCUCGUGCUAUAGGAGGAGCCUGCGUCGGAUUAGCUAGUUGGUGAGGUAAAGGCUCACCAAGGCGACGAUCCGUAGCUGGUCUGAGAGGAUGAUCAGCCACACCGGAACUGAGACACGGUCCGGACUCCUACGGGAGGCAGCAGUGGGGAAUAUUGCGCAAUGGGCGAAAGCCUGACGCAGCCAUACCGCGUGUGUGAAGAAGGCCUUCGGGUUGUAAAGCACUUUUAGUGGGGAGGAAAAGCUGGUGGAUGAUAUCCAUCGGCCGUGACGCUACCCACAGAAGAAGCUCCAGCUAAUUCCGUGCCAGCAGCCGCGGUAAUA